GAUGAACGCUGGCGGCGUGCCUAAUACAUGCAAGUCGAGCGAACAGACGAGGAGCUUGCUCCUCUGACGUUAGCGGCGGACGGGUGAGUAACACGUGGAUAACCUACCUAUAAGACUGGGAUAACUUCGGGAAACCGGAGCUAAUACCGGAUAAUAUAUUGAACCGCAUGGUUCAAUAGUGAAAGACGGUUUUGCUGUCACUUAUAGAUGGAUCCGCGCCGCAUUAGCUAGUUGGUAAGGUAACGGCUUACCAAGGCGACGAUGCGUAGGCGACCUGAGAGGCUGAUCGCCCGCCUUGGAGGGGGGACGGCGACCAUGCGCCUGCGGUAGGCACCAGUAGGCAAUCUGCCGCAGUGGGCGAGAGCCUGACGCAGCAACGCCGCGUCAGUUGUGAAGGUGUUCGGAUCGUGAUGCUGUGUUAUUAGGGAAGAACAGAUGUGUAAGUAGAUGUGCACGUCUUGACGGUACCUAAUCAGAAAGCCCCGGCUAACUACGUG
rnacentral:rRNA from 1 species